GUCUAUAGCCAUACCACCCUGAACGUGCCCGAUCUUAUCUGACCUCAGAAGCUAAGCAGGGUCGGGCCUAGUUAGUACUUGGAUGGGAAACAACUUGGGAAUACCAGGUGCUAUAGGCU
rnacentral:rRNA from 1 species